AGCGAACGCUGGCGGCAGGCUUAACACAUGCAAGUCGAGCGGACCUUUCGGGGUCAGCGGCGGACGGGUGAGUAACGCGUGGGAACGUGCCUUCCGGUUCGGAAUAACCCCGGGAAACUAGGGCUAAUACCGGAUACGCCCUUAUGGGGAAAGGUUUACUGCCGGAAGAUCGGCCGGCGUCUGAUUAGCUAGUUGGUGGGGUAACGGCCUACCAAGGCGACGAUCAGUAGCUGGUCUGAGAGGAUGAUCAGCCACACUGGGACUGAGACACGGCCCAGACUCCUACGGGAGGCAGCAGUGGGGAAUAUUGGACAAUGGGCGCAAGCCUGAUCCAGCCAUGCCGCGUGAGUGAUGAAGGCCUUAGGGUUGUAAAGCUCUUUUAUCCGGGACGAUAAUGACGGUACCGGAGGAAUAAGCCCCGGCUAACUUCGUGCCAGCCGCCGCCGUAA
rnacentral:rRNA from 1 species